UGGAAAGUUGGGAAGGUGGGGCUCCA
rnacentral:sRNA from 1 species